rnacentral:tRNA from 1 species
GGGAGUGUGGCUCAGUGGGUAGAGUGCUUGCCUAGAAUGUAUGAAGCCCUGGGUUCAAUUCCUCAGUACCA